GUAGUCGUGGCCGAGCGGUUAAGGCUUGAAAUCCAUUGGGGUUUCCCCGCGCAGGUUCGAAUCCUGCCGACUACG
rnacentral:tRNA from 1 species